UGGGGAAUUUUGCACAAUGGGGGAAACCCUGAUGCAGCAACGCCGCGUGAGUGAAGAAGGCCCUUGGGUUGUAAAGCUCUUUCGGUUGGGGAGAAGGGUGAUAUGGCUAAUAUCCAUGUCAUUUGACGGUACCAAAAGAAGAAGCACCUGCUAACUUCGUGCCAGCAGCAGCGGUAAUACGAAGGGUGCAAGCGUUGUUCGGAAUUACUGGGCGUAAAGGGCGCGUAGGCUGGUUUGUAAGUCGAAUGUGAAAUCCCCGGGCUUAACCCGGGACGUGCAUUCGAAACUGCAGAUCUUGAAUGCUUGAGAGGGUGGUGGAAUUCCUAGUGUAGAAGUGAAAUUCGUAGAUAUUAGGAGGAACACCUGAGGCGAAGGCGGCCACCUGGCAAGACAUUGACGCUGAGGCGCGAAAGUGCGGGGAGCAAACAGG
rnacentral:rRNA from 1 species